AUUCAGUAGUCUUUCUUUAACUAUUGACGUAUUUUUAUAAUAUAAUCAUUGUUAGUAAUAUAUAUAGCGUUAGUUAAAGUGACAUUCCUAUUCAGUGCAUGGAGGUUUAACAGUGUAUAUAGUUUACUAUUCAUCGUGUUGCCACAUAGAAAAUGAAAAAUCUUUAAAAAAGUAAUUGAAAAAAUAUUAAAUAGCUUUUAUUAUUUUAUUGUAAAUCAGCAGCGGGCGGAAUCCUAGCGUUUUCUGCAAUCUGAUUGGCUGCAGCAGCGGGCGGAAUUUUACGAUAUUUGACGACGGUCCGGAUCCUAUACGUAAUGGCCAAAGCAAAGCAAUAAUUUUUUGUAUGUUUGUUUUAAAACUGAAACUUGAAAUGAAUAUGUAAUUUUGAAAUGAUUUUAAUGAUGGA